CCGGCGACCGGCGCACGGGUGAGUAACACGUAUGCAACCUGCCCUCGUUCAGGGGGACAACCUUCCGAAAGGGAGGCUAAUCCCGCGUAUAUCGGUUUCGGGCAUCCGAGAUCGAGGAAAGAUUCAUCGGAAGAGGAUGGGCAUGCGGCGCAUUAGCUAGACGGCGGGGUAACGGCCCACCGUGGCGACGAUGCGUAGGGGUUCUGAGAGGAAGGUCCCCCACACUGGUACUGAGACACGGACCAGACUCCUACGGGAGGCAGCAG
rnacentral:rRNA from 1 species